rnacentral:ncRNA from 1 species
AGCAAACCAAUGAGUGAGAGGAGUAACCUCACAGAGUUGCUUGCAAAGAGAGCCGUGGAUGGUGGGAUCACGGUCAGGCACAGUGUGGUGAAUGGACUCACGAGGGCGAGGGUGAAAGGCGUUUGUGCCGAUUAGCUUUCGACGGGAUCUCCACCCGUUACCAAGGGAGCAUGCAUGAUGGUGCAUGGAGCGAGCGGGUAAAUAUUUUUAUUUACCAAUCUGGGUGGUACCGCAGGAGUCAAUUACAGCUCUUGUCCCUGAG